UUAAUGCUAUCGUGGGUCGUUUAGGUCGCCGGUGUCGCGUUCAAGAUUCGAUAAGUGAACAGAGCUAAUCGCCUUUACGACCCUCUUGACUCCGCCUCGAGGUUUUCUUAGGAGAUGACAGAGAAGAAUGGAGGAAUAAAUCCGAAAAAUAAAAGAUUUAAAAAGAAAGGGGGGAAAUGUAUGAAGAUUAAAACAAUAGGGAUCUUUGAUGUGACUUCAAAAUUUGUCAUCCUGUGGUCGCGUGUAAGUACUCAAGUAUCUGAUGAUUCACCAUGAAGUUCUUAUUUAGAGUUGUGUGGGAUUGUGAAGAUAAGAAUACAUUAUCAUCGGUCAGUGGAGCAGAAGAUGGGUAAGCACACAAGAAAAUAUAGAAUGGAAAGAUCAAGAGACGUGGGAUCCUUACUAGUAUUGGAAUACUACAGAGAAGAUAAGACAUGACUAUGUAGUCUACAAGAGGUGUUCCACAGCGAUGAACUUAUGCAUGAAUACAAAAAGGAAUCAUCCUCUUGUUCAUGGAUUACGUCAUUGCGCCAUUUUAUUUCGUUAUCUCCCUGGUAACAAGUGCGCCACGUUUGCCCUUGCGCGGAAGCAAUGUAAUUAACAGAUUUAAUCUGGACUGUAAUCGUCUGACCUGUUCUCCGACCUAGCAACGAUUCCACUGAUCUAUGUACGCUUUGCGAUUUUUUUUUUGUUUCAAGACCAAACCUCGUGACUACCCCAUGCGGAGAGGUCAUCAUCGUCGUUCAAAGAUUAAUCGUAUUAUGUCAGAACAUUGAACGUUUCCAUAAUGCUUCCUGAUUGUAUUAUCUGAGACUUGACUUGGAUGAUCGUUCUUGGACUGUGAUGAUCUUGGUAAUGAUGUACCGUGACGAGUAUUACGAGAGGAGCAAAGAAAUUUUCGAGCAGUUGAAGCUUGUAAUGACGGAUGACGACGAAUCGUCAUUGGUCGGUACGACAAUAAUGAUUGUCAGCUGUUAUGGUUGACGUCUUGGUCGACGCGGAGGAUUCGCGAGAAUACAGAGAAAGUAUGUAAGCCGGAGGUCGUCGUCAGGAGAAACGUCAGCCGAAUCUUCCCAGGCAUCGAUGAUUCCCGCUGACGGAGCAUUUUCGCGCGCAUUCGACGAUUGAAAUUCGAUGACGGUCUUGCAUCAUUUACCAAGAGCGAGAGAACGAUUGUAGGAAUCAAAAUGCGUGCUCUUCAAAACAUUCAUCCUCCCUCCAUUGAGAAUCAAAUCUCAGGCUACAAACUCAUCGCACAAUUUUCGUGAGAAACUUGGUACGUGGAUCGAUGACCCUUCGUUGUGCAUCCGUUUUAUAUUGCGUCAAAGGGAAUUGGAUGAUAGAAAAAUUUAGCUGAUCCCAUCAAGACGUGGAGCCUUAAGGAGAAGCUGAAGAGAAAACAAAAGACACUCCGACUCCCACGUCUCUGUACCCACCGGUUGAUUAAUGUAUCUCAAUUAAGUGGUGGGGAUGCUUAUUGUACAGUGUAUCUUGAAAAGGGAUGCAGAUGAUGACGUGUGAUCCAAUGUGCACUCGGUCAGUCAUAGCGGAGUGGACGCUAAUAUUAGCGCUGCAACAUGGUAACCGCGCUUCGAGCUUAUUCCUGGCUCAGCCAGCUGCUUGGCUAGCCAGAGUCAAGGUCACGGUAUUAUAGAGCAACUUGCUUCUGUCACAUGUACAACCGCGACCCUAUAUACCGACACCUCCACCUAGACAACAAGACUGGUUAAAGCUCCUUGGCAAGAUGAUAAUCUACGUCGAGCUCGGUGUUCGCGUGAGAGGCGACCAUUACGCAGCGACCAGAACUGACGUCGGUAGGAGAGAAAAGAGAAGAGAGGCGCUUAAUGAUGCUGGGGAAAGGAAUUGAAAAUGUCAGGAGUGGCCUAGGAGUUGAUUUUCCUGUGGCUACGUGGGAUCGGUUCUUCUACCCACUGGUACGAGUUCUCCGCAUCCACAGUGUCCUUGGCCUAUAUCUAGAACGUAGAUUGAGAUCAACCAGCAUCGGACAUCAAGGAGAAUGGCCAAGGAACGAAAACGGAAAGGAAUCUGUGUGGUAUAUCUGGAGCGGAAGUACCUGACAAAUUUGGCCUAACAAACUUUGAUAUUUCGCACAAGUAAUUUCAGUCGAGCACCACAAGGAGCAGAGUCGUAUAUCGUGUGGAGUAGCUGAGUAGCUACGUCGUUCCGUGCUGGCAACAAUCCCGCAAUGUAUAAUUAAAAGAGUCCAAGGCAUGCAGUAGUGGCUGUUACAGUAAGCGCGCGAGGAUCGCGCCAUGUUGCCCGAAAGAUCGUCGAGACGUCGUGGAUCAUCCUCAGGGACCAAUUAAGAGAGCGAUCGAUAAAUGCAUUGUAAGACGUUAGCACAGCGACGUCCACCGGUGGGAAACGGUACCCAUACCGAUGACGAUAUAUGCCUUAAGGCUGACACGCAUGUAACGACCGCUUGCGGAAUGCCAUGUAAAUAGGGAAGAGGAACGAAAUAAUAAGAGGAGUAUGAUAGAAGGAGGCGAUGCCGACCUUGGCCUUCACUAGCAGUCAGCAGCGUGCAACUGUCGCCUCGAGCGAAUCGCAUGUGCGAAUGUUGUUACGCGAGCCAAGCCAGUGUGUCGAGCGACGGUGAACACGAUGGGGAGUGUUAGAGCAGCAGGGCUGACUUCUAUGUGGAGCAGCAAAAGUGACAGUCAUAUAGCGAUAGUCGCGGUACUAGAAAGCUGUAUGUUGUAUAUAAUAGUUUUAGGCCUGACACCCGUGGAAUCAUUCUAGUCGUCUUGAAUCCCUUUGUUCAAGCGGAUAUAAAUGAUAGUAUGAGACUUAUUAUUUAUAUUUUAUAUCAUGGCAUUUUUAUGGAGAGGCGCCUUAAUAUUUUUAUGGGUCAUUUACGACAGGGUUAUAGAUCUGUAAGGGUUAUUGCUUAAAUCUUGUUACGGAUGAAUUAUUGAGGCUCGAUCAGAUACGAUCGGUUUCCCAUAGAGAGCCUUUUGUAUUUUCGCAAUGAAUUUCACGAGGGUUCUACGUCGAGGGGCGUCGCGACGCCAACCUCAAAGCACGGUCUCGUGGAUGGUGUCGCAAAGGCCCGGUUCAUCCAACCCCGGUAAUGGCUGUCGCUUUAAUAACGAUUAAACCCGCGACUCGGUUGCAUCAGUACCGAGUGCAAGGAUAGAAUCGCGAAUGCAUUGUGUAACGGUUUACGAUUUACGGUUUACAUAGCCGUCCUAUUCUGUAUAUUUAAGUCAAAGUCCAGUGGCUAAUUAAGGUAGUUAAUUGGGUGACUGGGUAGUAAUAAUUAUUGGUUAAGUUAGAGUAAUUAAAUGAAAUUGCCCGUAGCGUUAUCGUAGUCCAACUACUUUAUCUGAUCUACUAAGUGUCUUAAAGGCGUUCUCUUACCGGAUUUAAUUUUCAAGGCUUUUCCCCAAUAAUUAUGUCCUUUGGAUUUUCAACUUUGAACUUUGAAUCCGUCAGGUAUUUUCUUUUGUUAUGCCCGUAUACAAUUUUUGUUUUUUCUCGUUUCUUUUUUUUUUUGGCAGCUAGGGUCCCCAGGGUAUAGGGAAUAACGAGAAUAUUCAAUAAUCCAGGAAUAACAGAGGUUUAAAUGCUUAAGCUGUGUAGACGCCUAACUGUCUACAGUAACUACUCGAAGUAUCGAUUACAUGCAUGCGAUCACGUAGUACACCGUAGUUAAUUUCCUAUUUCAGGUAAAAUCAAACGGUGCGAAGGUGAAAAAAAAAUGUGAAAGUCCUCAAAUUCGCGUUAUCCGUCCAGUUAUUCGUACUCGAGUCUAUAUUGAAAAUUCUUUUUUUUUAACUGAAAAAAAUAUACGACCGCGCGUAAAAGCAACGACGUUACUCGAAGCGUAAAGGCGGAAAAAUACAUUUGCACGAGGUGCGCUUUUAACGUCCCAGCAAUUUAGCGGCGUCGUGAGCGUAAAGAUAAUGAGUAAUUUAAAUGCACGAUUCAAACGACACGGCGGCUGUGAAGUAAUUCAAUUUUUCGUCUAAAGUCGGAGAUAAGGUUUCCUAAUAGACUUGACUGUAAACUAUUUCUAAAAAAAUCAGUUAUCAGCAAGAUGUUUCAUGUCGAAUGCCAUAAGAGAACAAUGUAAAAAUCACACAAAAAAUGUAUCAUGGAUCCUGGUACCAGGUACCGAAUCACUCGGUCAGCUGGUACCAAGAUUUUUAGGUAUAUUUUAAAUAGAUAAUGAAUCUCAUGAAUAAUUCCGUUUGAUAAGGAGGUUCCUUGCAAGAAGUCUGCACGUAGCAAACGAGAGUGAAUGAGAGUAAGUGAAGUGGUGGCCUCAUAAUGAAAGUGAAAUCGAGGGCGCCAGUGCCGCAGCCCACAAGAGCGUCGACGGGUUCUUCAGAGUGGCGUGAAACGUACAAGACAUUUAUUCAGAUAUAUAUAUAUAUAUAAGCAUAGAUAUAGUACACAUGAAGCCCAUUGCACUGUGAACGAGGCUUGAAUCACCCACGUGGCGCUGCAUCCUGCGGAAAGGUAACGGAAGAGGAUCCUGUCGCGUAGUCUAGUGAAAAGCGGAUUUAUUCUAGUUACAAAGCUGAAUAUACAUGUAAGCUAUGGCUGUUUAACAGCAGUGACUAUUCGUAUGGUUUUAUAUUUCGACGGUUGGUUAACAUGGAAUUAGAUUUUAAGAAUGAUUUAUACAAGAUGGAAGUAACUCUCAUGAUGCGCGGCAUUCACGUAUUUUUAUCGUGGCAUAGUUUUAGGUUAUCUCGUCACAGGGACGCUAAGGGCCUACGGAGUUAUCUUGCUGUUGAUUUAUCAUCGUCUUGUUAUCGUGGUGACAUACAUUCACUACACUACGGUGGAGAGCCGUCCGUAGGAGCAUCUCUUAGGAAGCAUCCCUAGAAUUGUAUAGAGAAUUUAUGAAGUUCCAGGAAGGUCCUAUGAAUAUAUAAUAUAUAUAGAUUGA